rnacentral:rRNA from 1 species
GACGAACGCUGGCGGCGUGCUUAACACAUGCAAGUCGAACGAAGUGGCGAACGGGUGAGUAACGCGUAAUCAACCUGCCCUUCAGAGGGGGACAACAGUUGGAAACGACUGCUAAUACCGCAUACUGAAGGAGGGGAUUGCGUCUGAUUAGCUAGUUGGAGGGGUACCGGCCCACCAGGCGAGGAUCAGUAGCCGGUCUGAGAGGAUGAACGGCCCCAAUUGGACUGCGACCCGGCCCCGACUCCUACGGGGGGCAGCCGUGGGGAAUCAUCCGACAUGGACGACAGUCUGACGGAGCAACGCCCCGUGGGUGGUGACGGCCUUCGGGUUGUAAAACUCUGUUAAUCGGGACGCGGUACCGGAAUAGAAAGCCACGGCUAACUACGUGCCAGCAGCCGCGGUAUUUC